rnacentral:lncRNA from 1 species
AAAAACCUUGCAUCCCAAACCCCACUCCUCUACCUCUGUUUCCUAAUCCCACCACCUAUAUCCCAUCCCCACAUUCUGGUCACCUGUGCUAAGAAAAUAUCUGAAAGUCUUCUCCUUCCCAUUGUUAAUCAGGGUAGCUCUCUAGGUAUAUUCAAGCACAAGGCUAGGGGACCCACAUUGUCAAGACCCUGUGAAUGCAUCCACCCACAGGUCGAUGCUUUGCUCCAUCCGAUAUCUCAGUGACUCCAGGUCCUGCAAUGAUGCCCCUUCCCCGAGAUGCCACAGCAGUAUUUACCAAUGCCCCUCUUUGGAUGAUCAUUUGAUAAUCUCUCAAAGAGGAUCUUAUCUAUUUCUGCCCAACUUCACCUCUCACCCCGGGAAAGACAUUACACCACAAAGAAUGAUAUUUUUUUAGCAAAAGUGAUUAAGAGUUCAGGCUCUGAAAUGAAGCAACCUCAGUCUGAAUCUUGGCUUUGUCACUCACCUGCUUGACCUUGGCAGUGUUGACCUAACCACACCAAGAAGAAGCAUGUCUUCCACGGGAUGAGGGUACUACAGUGCAUACUGACAAGGCUACCAUGAGGAUUCAUAAAAAUCAUUCACUUAAAAUAUUUAGCACAGUACCUGAAACAUAGUAAAUGCACAGUAUAUGUAUUAGUCUGUUUUUGCACUGCUGACAUACAGGAGACUGGGAAGAAAAACAGGUUUAAUGCACUCACAGUUCCUCAUGGCUGGGAAGGCCUCACAACUAUGGCGAGGGCAAAAGGCACUUCUUAAGUGGCAGUGGCAAGAGAGAAAUGAAAAAGAAGCAAAAGCAGAAACUCCUUAUAAAACCAUCGGAUCUCGUGAGACUUAUUCACUACCAAAAAAACAGUAUGGGGGAAACUGCCCCCAUGAUUCAACUAUCUCCUACCAGGUACCUCCCACAACAUGUGGGAAUUACAGGAGGACAAUUCAAGAUGAGAUUUGGGUGGGGACACAGAGCCAAACCAUAUCAGUAUACAGUUGUGUUAUUGUGACCUGGCCAUUGAAGAUGUAUAGACUUAUAGACUAUUAGCAUUUGAAAACCCUCUCUCAAAAAAAAAAAAAAAAAAGAGGGACAAGGAUGGAUGACAAAAUUUAGAAAGAAAAAACUAUUUCUAACAAUUUUUUUAAAGAAAAGUGAAGCGCAUGAAUGGGUUGGUUCUGCUAUAGAUACUACACAUAAAUUCUCAUUUAACUUUUAUUGUACCCUUCGGAGGAAAUACUUCCCUCAACAGAGGGGCAAACAGAGGCAUGGUUAGGAACAUAUUACCUGAGUUUGAAUGUCACUUAGUUGUGUUACCUGGGUAAGUGGCUUAAUCUCGCUGGGCCAAUUUCUUUGUCAAGUAAAAUGAGAAUAAUGGUACCUAUAAGGUAGUAGUGAGGAUUAAAUAAGUUAAUAUAUAUAAAGCAGUAAGAAGAGUAUUAUGCACAUAGUAAACACUCAACACAUAAUGUCUACUAUUAUCUUUUACAGAAGCUGAAACUGAGGUUCAAUGAGGUAAAUUGAUUCAUCCAAGCUCACAGGCUUGUAAGCAGCAAAGGUAGAAUUUAAAUCCAAGUCACUUUGACUCCAAAGCCAAUGGAAUGUUUCUUCCACUACUCUUUAUCACCUGUGCAGGACAUGCUCCACUGUUGGACCUGAGGCAAAUUUUUGUGGAAUAUCAAUAAUUUUGGAUGAUAACAGAGAAAAAUGACACCGAACCACGUGCACUUGCCAGAGAUGGACUCCAACUGGAGGCCAGAAAGCAGAAGAGCCUGGAAAUGCCAUCUAUGAAGGUCGGCCUCUGAGCAGCCCAGAGAAAAGCAGAAAUGAGACUGGGGCAGCCAAGAGUGAAUAACCAGCACGGUAGCUGACGCAGUGCGGUACACAAAGGGCGCGCUUCCAGUAAGACCUCAAGGCCCAUGUGCUGCUUUGAAUUCAACUGAACCGAAUGGAGAAACUGGUUGCAAGUAAAGGGUGUUAUGUGGUAAAGGCAACUGGACCCUGGACCGCUAGGGUUUCACUUCCAGCUUAUCUAGACAAGUGAAUCAUCAGAUUUCACAGCCCUCUUGGGGCUUGAAUCACACAUGUGCGGGAGGAGCUGCAUUGCUGGUGCAUGUGAAGUGUUUCAAGCUGUAAUUAUAUCCUUCACCUCCUCAGAGUGUCUAGACUAGAUUACGAAGGCUGGGGAAAAAAAAAAAUGACUGCAGCUUUCUGUGGUCCUCAAACAAGUGGGAAUUCCUGGCUGGGGCCCUUUUCCCAGAGUACACAGGAGCAAAUCCCCAGAAGCAGCAGCAGCAGCAGCAGCAGCAGCAGUAGCCUUGGCUUGAAGGAUGAAGAUUAAAAGGGAAAAGAGGUACCACUGCCUUUAAAAGUCUCCAUAGGAAAGAGACUCCAGUCAAGCACUAGCGGUAGAAAUAUGAAGCAACCCUGCUGUUCCUCUGCAGGAAAAGUUUUUAAAUAACUUCUUAUUAGUAAUAUUAAUAUUAAUGAUAAUACUGAAUCUUCAUAGCACAUUUAUUAUAUACUGAACACUAUGGUAGCAUUUUACGUACUUUGCUUCAUUUAAUUUCCACAAUCGCCCUGAGAAGUAACAUUAACCCUAUUUUUAAAAACAGAAAAAUGAUGCUUAGAAAGGCAAACAGAAUAUGGUCUUAGCUGCAGUUGAUUGAACAUUUAUUAUGUGCUUGCCAUAGGGCUGGGUAUCCCAGCAGUUCUCAAAGUGCAGUUCGUGGACCUCUCUGAGUUCCCAGCACCCUUACAGGAGAUCUACAAGGUCAAAACAAUAUUCAUAAAAACAAUAAAACAGCGUUUGCCUUUUCCACUGUAUUUACAUUUGCACUGCUGAUGGGAAAACUGCCAGCACCAUAGCACAAAUCAAGGCAGUGCACCAAACUGCACUAGUAGUCAUUGAAUUCUUCAAGGCCACCCACUUGUGGUAGAAAAAUGUGGCCAUUCAUAUAAGCAUGACUUUGAUGAAGCAGAAUCAUUUUUAAUUUUAUUAAAUUUUAACCCUUGAGCACAUGAACAUCUUUUUAAGAUUCUGCACGAGGAAACAGGAAGAACUCAUAAGGCAUGUCUAAGUACCAUGGUUGUCUCAAAGAAAAGGCACCUGCACAGUUGUUGAGUUGCAAUCUGAACUAAGCUCGGUAUUCAUAGAUCACCAUUUCUACUUGAAAGAACAAAAGAGAAAUUAUGGGUGUUCAGACUCUGGUAGUUGGCAGACAUGUUCUCAAAACUUAACUAAGUGAGCCUCUUACUUCAAAGAAAACAGCUUAGCCGGGCACAGUGGCUCACGCUUGUAAUCCCAGCACUUUUGGAGGCCUAGGUGGGUAGAUCAUGAGGUCAGGAGCUCAAGACCAGCCUGGCCAACAUGCUGAAACCCCGUCUCUACUAAAAAUACAAAAAUUAAUCUGGUGUGGUGGUGCAUGCCUGUAGUCCCAGCUACUCGGGAGGCAGAGGCAGGAGAAUCACUUGAACCUGGGAGGCGGAGGUUGCAGUGAGCCGAGAUUGUGCCAUUGCAGUCCAGCCUGGGUGACAGAGCAAAACUCUGUCGAAAGAAAGAAAGAAGAAAGAGAGGAAGGAAGGAAGGGAGGGAGGGAGGAAGGAAGGAAGGAAGGGAGGGAGGGAGGGAUGAAGGAAGGAAGGAAGGAAGGAAGGAAGGGAGAGAGGAAGGAAGGAAGGAAACAGCAGACCAUGUUUGUUGCCAAUGGUAACAUUUGAACUUCCAUGUGAAGAUUAGAAUUUUGGAAAAUAUAUAUGUUACUGUUAACUCAUCAGCUUCCCAAUAUAUUAAGACUUUUCUGUUCAGAUCUGUGCUGGCAUUAAAGAAUGUGAUCCUUUGAUAGUGUAUAAGGCAAUGUGUCAACAUUUGGAAGAUUUGUAUAAUUCAGUGAACCAAUAUUUUUUAAAUGUCCACAGUAUCAUACUGCAAAAUCAUGCACAGGUAAACGUUCAUUCAAAGCAUAAAAUGGCCAGUGGAUUUUAAGGUAACAUAGCAUGAAAAUUUCAUUUGCAUAGUUUCAGGUUCCAUAUUAUAACUACCUUUUAAGAAACUGGCAGUCAAGUUUUGAUGUAGUAUCAAAAAAAUGCUUUUUUUUUUUUUUUGAGACAGAGUCUCACUCUGUCACCCAGGUUGGAGUGCAGUGGUGCGAUCUCGGCUCACUGCAAGCUCUGCCUCCCAGGUUCACGCCUUUCUCCUGCCUCAGCCUCCCAAGUAACUGGGACUACAGGCACCCGCCACCAUGCCCAGCUAAUUUUUUCUGUUUUUUAGCAGAGGCAGGGUUUCACCGUGUUAGACAGGAUGGUCUGGAUCUCCUGACCUCAUGAUCCGCUUGCCUCGGCCUCCCAAAGUGCUGGGAUUACAGGCGUGAGCCACCACGCCCGGCCCAAAAAAAGACUAUUAAAUCACACCUCUUUUUUCCAAAUGCAUAUCGGCAUGAAGCUAAAUUUUUUCCUAUACUGCAACCAAAACAAUCUAUGGCAAAACAUUGAAUGCCAAAGAGAUUAUGAGAAUCUAUCUUCUCUUAAGUCACACAUUAAAGAGAUUUAUAAAAGUGUUGCUGUUCUCACUACAGUUUUGGGGUGAAAAAUAUAGUUAUUUAUCAUUAAAAAGUUAAUUAUGUAACAUGCAGUCAGCUCACUAGUAAAUAAAUGAUUUUAAAAUUUCUCAGUUAUAAUUUCUACUGCAAUAAAUGUUGAUAGAUAUAACCCACAUUUAAAAAUUUUUUUAAAUUAAUCUUUGAAGUCCACAAUAAUCUUUAAAUCUUUGGAAUCCUCAGUAAUUUUAAAAGGGUCCUGAAGCCAAAAUCUUUGAGAAGCACUGUUUCAUCAAUAUGUCAUCAAUGCAAUGUGAUCCCAGAGCUAAGAGCUUUUCAGGGGCUUAGAAAAUAUAUAAGCCUCAGGUAGAAAAAUAGUUGUUGGCUCCAAAACUACAAAAGAAACCAAUAAAAAAUUAAAAUGAAUAAAUGUUUAAUUAAAUGUCUACAAAAAUGCACCAACAUGCCAACUUCAUUAACUGUUAAAAUUUAAUAUUCAUAAAGAUUUCAUUACAUCUAAUACGAUUUAUAGAUUCAAUUUUCUCACUUCACACAUUCCCCUAAGUAUACACAGUGAUUGUUGGGAACUCAUAGCCAAUCAUAAAUUAAAUGAAAGUUACAUAGAGCCAAAUAAUUUCUAAAGCACAAAUAUAAAGGCCCUUACAAAAAGAAUUUAAAGCCAAAAAGUAUAUUUAAUGUGGGAUAUGGGUGCCAUUAGUAUGUUUGAUAUGUUGUAUGGUAAGGCCUCCAAAAGUCAGAAUAUGUAGGGCUCAUGAAGGCCCUGUUUUAAACACAGCAUCUUAUUUCCUUUAAAUUACACCCCUCCUGAGAAAGAUUCUGGUGAAAGCAGAUAUCUUCACUAGGCUAAGGAGAUAUCUUCACCAGGCAAAACAUUUCACCCUGACCUUUGGCAGGCCUGGGGAAGAGAAACACAUAAGGUAAAUACCAUAAACCCAUCAGAAGAGUAAUAAAAUCAUGAAGGAAAGAAAGGCCAGAUGCUGUUCUUUGGGACCCAACAAUGGCACAGCCAGCCAGGUUUCUGUCCCACAGGCAGAAGGGGUUACCACAGCCUCUCACACCCAGACUGUCAUCUUGAGCAAAGCAGGACUGAUAGCUUAGCAGAGCCCCAGACAUCUCACUAGGGAAACAGAAUGUUUGACAGAAAAGUCUGGGAGUACUUUCUAAAGACUAGCCAGCUUAAAGCAAAAAGUCCCCCAGUGAUCCUCCCCACCUCUCUUCUGGGUCCCUUGCCCUUGCUGGUACCUCAGGACUAGGCGCCCUUGCUGACCAGCAGUGCCCAGGAUCACCAAGACCUCUCUCAACUUCAUUCCCUUGCAAAGUGUUUUCUCACCUUCCCCUCAUUCUCUCAGCCCCACUGACCAGAGUGAAGCAGUGUUGUCGCCAUCCAACUUUGAGGUGUCAAGACUCUGAGAUAAUGUGGUUGCCUUUUAGAAGGGCUCCAAGAAUGGGAUAUCCCACAGUAUUGCAGUUUGCUUAUUUUCUUUCUCAUCUGAUUUUUCUGUAGUUUCUGCUAUAAAUGCAUUUGCUUUCUUUUAAACAUUUUUUAAAAGAUCAGUAAAGUAACCGGCUCAUUAUAGGUCUUUGAUAAAUAGUAAUCACUAUUAUUUGGCAAUUCAUCACACAGUGCCCUAACUUCUCCUGCAUGGAAAUCAGGAGAUCUUCCCUGUUGAGAGUGAAUGGAUUCACUUUCAUUUCCUGCAGCUGCCUAGUUUAGUAAAAAAUAAAAAUAAAAAUAGAAAAAUGGAAAAACAGAGUUAGAAAAUGUGCAAUGUAUUUGAAAUGUUUCAUUUAACAAGUCAAUGCUUUAAUUACGCAUAUACAUGCAAAACCAAAAUACAAUCGAAUUGUGCAAUUGACAAUAUAAUUUCAAGAUUUAUGGAAAGCAAGUAAUGGAUUGUGAACACAUUGUGUUGGCAAGGUGGCCUAGUAAGGAGACAAAACUGUAGAGCUCUCUGAUGUACACCUUCUUUCAAUCCUUUCCCUGAAGCUCUGUGACUCAAUGGCAUCAUUUGGAGAUUAAAAACAAGUCUAAAAUUGAGAUUUGUUGCCAAAUUGCUUCCCUUAAACACCUCCUCCUUU